rnacentral:rRNA from 1 species
GGCUCAGAACGAACGCUGGCGGCGCGUCUUAAGCAUGCAAGUCGAACGGCAAGAGGUAGCAAUACCUCCUAGAGUGGCGGACUGGUGAGUAACACGUGGGUGACAUACCCUUCAGAUGGGGAUAGCUAUUAGAAAUAGUAGAUAAUACCGAAUACGAGCACAGGGGUUAGAGAUCUGUGAGGAAAGGAGCUAAGGCUCCGCUGAAGGAAUGGCCUGCGGCCCAUUAGCUAGUUGGUGAGGUAAGAGCCCACCAAGGCGAUGAUGGGUAUCCGGCCUUAGAGGGUGAACGGACACAUUGGGACUGAGAUACGGCCCAGACUCCUACGGGAGGCAGCAGCUAAGAAUAUUCCGCAAUGGACGAAAGUCUGACGGAGCGACGCCGCGUGGAUGAAAGAAGGCCGGAAGGUUGUAAAAUCCUUUUGAAACUGAAGAAUAAGCGUUGUAGGGAAUGACAGCGUGGUGACAGUAGGUUUUGAAUAAGCAACGGCUAAUUACGUGCCAGCAGCAGC